GCUGGUGUGAUAGGCAGGAGAGAGUGAUUGUAUUUUGCCGACUGAGCGUGCAAGUCGUGAAUACGGCAACUCAAACAACAUGGCGUGAAAGCUGAAAAAGGGAAUGAUGUGUCACAGAAUUUAAACAUCGGACUUCUGACAGAUUUCUUUCCUGAUAUUACUUCGUAUUAGAGAGAAAAUGAUGAAAACUUCAACAAGUGAUUUGGUGAUAACUUGCAUUAACCAGGUGUCAUCCGAUUUACACUUAUGGUAUAUACAUCCCGAGCCACGAUUGGUAGUGGAAUACAGGCCUACGCUCGAGUUCAUAUCAACAUCCAUGCAGCUUGGUCAGAUCAGCAAAGAUUUAAACAAGUUUUCACCAGGAGGUGAUGUUGCUUGAACGGCAUCUAUACCAUUCCGCAUGUGGUUAUCUUACGCCCGAGAAUUAACCUGGUGUCGAUCAAGACUUCAUCACCAGUAAAGACGAUUGAUGUCCACCUCAUGCACAAUGAGCCACAAGUGGAAUAGGUUUACCUCGAGUACACUUCACCAUCCAUGUGGCCUGGUCAGCGAGGAAUGGAACAGGUUUUCAUCAGGAGAUGCUUAGAGGGUCUGGUGGACAGGAGAAUGUUGCUUGGAAGUCAUCCGAUAAUGCUUAUCUUACGGGGAGAUGAGAGAUCUGAUGUCAUUGUUGACCAUCGCCAUUUGAUUUGCCACUUGAGAGGACCCAGUCUUACUUUGAGGAGUAAGAUAGGAUUUGGAUAAUGGAUUUCGGUCGACGAAUAUACCAUGCUGAUGUAAUGAUUGGAAAGUUCAUCCUUUGUAGUCUCGUUUUGGUGAGGGGUGUUGCAAAGAUCCAGUUGAUCUUAUGCAUGUCUUCCGCUUACUAGAGCCUAAAGACAACCGCACACCUCACGAUUGGUCUGCGACCCGAUUUUGGAAUAAAACGUAGUAGAGUUUGAUUCUUAUAUUGAGACAUGGAAUAUCUGUCUGUGUCAAUAUUCUACAUCAUCAUACGAAUACAUUAUGUUCAAAUAUGUGGCCAUGCUGUGAGCCUUAUUAGAAUAAAAGUGAAUUUGAUAUCUAGUCGUCAUAGCAAUCAUACGAUUGGCUACGAUUUGAAACCAAUUUGGCCUUACUAAAAAAAACGAAGGCUUACAAUCAUCCAAAUUUGUUAUAUUAGUAUUCUUACAAUUAGUUUGAACCACAAAUAAAAAAUACUUUUUAUUCACAUUUUCAGAAAACU